rnacentral:lncRNA from 1 species
GGGUUUACUCGUGAUUGAGGUGUUUCCGAUUAAUCAGCUGUUUUGAUCUGAUUGUUUUGGGCGCAAUUUUAUUGAGUCUAUUUAUGGGGUCUAGUUAUGUGACCAUGCACACCAACUGAUGGUCCACACCUAGGGUUGGAGUCAAGUUGAGAUUGCGCUGAAUCCAUGUUGGCAGAAGGUACGCCCAAUCCAUUUGCAGGCGUAGGGCCC